rnacentral:rRNA from 1 species
UUUGAUCCUGGCUCAGGAUGAACGCUAGCGGCAGGCCUAAUACAUGCAAGUCGAGGGAGAAGUUGAGUGCUUGCAUUCAACGGAAACCGGCGCACGGGUGCGUAACGCGUAUGCAACUUACCCUUUACUGGGGGAUAGCCCGGGGAAACUCGGAUUAAUACCCCAUAGUACCAUUUGAUGGCAUCUGAAGAUGGUUAAAGAUUUAUUGGUAAUGGAUGGGCAUGCGUCUGAUUAGCUAGUUGGUGAGGUAACAGCUCACCAAGGCGACGAUCAGUAGGGGGUCUGAGAGGAUGAUCCCCCACACUGGCACUGAGAUACGGGCCAGACUCCUACGGGAGGCAGCAGUAGGGAAUAUUGGUCAAUGGACGAGAGUCUGAACCAGCCAUGCCGCGUGCAGGAAGACGGCCUUCUGGGUUGUAAACUGCUUUUGACAGGGA